rnacentral:tRNA from 1 species
GGAUUGUGGCUCAGUGGUAGAGUGCUUGCCUAGCAUGUGUGAGGCACUGGGUUCGAUUCUUAGCACCA